AUACUAAAUCUUUUUGGAGUGCAAUGCUAUACUCUCUAAAAACAUGAACAUCAUUUAUUUGAAGACACGGUUCUCUGUAGGGUCACUUGCCAUGACUUUAUUUUAGUAUAUUUCUGUGUGCAUGUGGCAGGGAAAACAUUGUUGUUUACUAGAAAUUCACUCUUUUAUCUGAAGAUUGGAGACUACAUAAGACUUUGACAGAUGGCGGGAAACCCUCAUGAACUGGAUAGAAGCCGGUAGAAGAAUGUCUGCGACUAAGCCGAGGGCCACUUGAGGAUUGGGUUGUUGAUGGUAAAACAGAUUGGAGACUACAUAAGACUUUGACAGAUGGCGGGAAACCAG